rnacentral:rRNA from 1 species
AGACGUCUACAUUAGAUACCCGGGUAGUCCCAGCCGUAAACUAUGCGCGUUAGGUGUAUCGGUGACCACGAGUCACCGAGGUGCCGAAGGGAAACCGUGAAACGUGCCGCCUGGGAAGUACGGUCGCAAGGCUGAAACUUAAAGGAAUUGGCGGGGAGCACCACAGCGGGUGGAGCCUGCGGUUUAAUUGGACUCAACGCCGGGAAGCUCACCGGAUAAGACAGCGGAAUGAUUGCCGGGCUGAAGACUCUGCAUGACUAGCUG